GAUGAACGCUGGCGGCGUGCUUAACACAUGCAAGUCGAACGGUGAAGCCCAGGCUUGCUCGGCGGGUUCAGUGGCGAACGGGUGAGUAACACGUGAGCAAUCUGCCCCUGACUCUGGUAUAAGCGCUGGAAACGGCGUCUAAUACUGGAUACGAGCUGCGAGGGCAUCUUGAGCAGCUGAGAAUAAUGUCGGUAAGGGAUGGGCUCGCGGCCUAUCAGCUUGUUGGUGGGGUAGUGGCUCACCAAGGCGUCGACGGGUAGCCGGCCUGAGAGGGUGACCGGCCACACUGGGACUGAGACACGGCCCAGACUCCUACGGGAGGCAGCAGUGGGGAAUAUUGCACAAUGGGCGAAAGCCUGAUGCAGCAACGCCGCGUGAGGGAUGACGGCCUUCGGGUUGUAAACCUCUUUCAGCAGGGAAGAAGCGAAAGUGACGGUACCUGCAGAAGAAGCGCCGGCUAACUACGUG
rnacentral:rRNA from 1 species